UACGUAUGGGGCAGGCGUUAUCCGGGUUUACUGGGUGUAAAGGGAGCGUAGGCGGCGGGGCAAGCCUGAUGUGAAAGCCCGGGGCUCAACCCCGGGACUGCAUUGGGAACUGCCCUGCUGGAGUGCCGGAGGGGCAGGCGGAAUUCCUAGUGUAGCGGUGAAAUGCGUAGAUAUUAGGAGGAACACCAGUGGCGAAGGCGGCCUGCUGGACGGUGACUGACGCUGAGGCUCGAAAGCGUGGGGAGCAAACAGG
rnacentral:rRNA from 1 species